AUAUACAUGUACUUUCUCAGAUUGCCUCUAAAUCAAAAGGAGCUGAGAAGGAAGUAAAAUAAAAACUAUCUAUGAAAUUAUUAUUGAACAGGUAUUCGUGGAAGUUUAUACCAUUUGUGCAUUAGUUUGAAUUUUAACCGGUUAGGUAAAUAAUUCAUCUUCGAAAAGAUGAAUCCAUUGAUUUUCUCGAUUCUAUGUGUUUUUGUAACCGACGUGCGAUCAAAAAAAGCUUUACUUAUCAAUCUAAGCUAUAAAAAUUGGGGGAACCUUGAAGACGUUUGGCACAAUAAUACCAUCUCAUAUCGAUAUUAUAUAGACAAAUAUUCUGCCGCGUGCCCUGCUUCCAGCCCUCUUGAGCAGCAGUUCAACAAAGAUGUCUCGUUGACCAAACAAAGCGUAUUCUCGAGGUUAAUUUGUCUGAGAAAUCAAUCCCUGACGGAGAGUGAUAUUGAUUUUUGUGAGAACUCAUACGAACCUGCGAUGAUUUAUAAUUCACGUACGGGAGAAUAUGAAAUCGGAUAUGAGCUGUAUUUUUUCAGGAAUGAGAGCGAAUAUCAGGGCAAUACAAAAUAUGAUUAUUAUUAUAAUUAUAAAACGGUAAAUACAAAAAAGCCCCCGUACGAAAUUGAGAAUCAAACAAUAUUCAAUGGUACUUCUGAAUUUGUAAUUAGAUACGAAGAUGACACCCACAUUAUGUUCAAUUUCACCAAUGGAUAUCCAACUCUGGGUUUCUAUUGGAUACAUGUGCUGUCCAUGAAAUAUUCAAAAAACAAUAAAUAUGUGGUAUUUACACGAAAUCUUAUAAAAUUUGAAAAUUUGAAGGACGAAUGCAAAAAUUAUCGAACUGCUGACGAAGAAUUGUACUCAAAGAAAAAUCAGAAAAAGUGUUUGAAAGACAUUUUAGUGCCUUCGUCCUCAUUUAAAGGAAACCCUGAUCUGUCCUGCGGACAACCUUAUGGAUGUUUAACACCAUCGCAGGUAAUUCCACUGUGGUAUUUUGACUCGAGCUCAGCCAGGCUUGCCAGUUGUUCGUAUUUAAACGUAAUACCAGUUUGGAAAAGCAUUGCAGAAGGAAAUUUGAGAAGAGUCGAUCUUUUCAUAGGUGCAAUUAUCAAGAAUUUACGUUAUGAUAACGGAGUCAGUGUUGACAAAGUCAUUUUUGGUGUAAAUGGAGUUUUAAAAAUAACGGUACCGGGUGGCAGGCGAAGAAUGUAUUUAUCAGAUAGUAAACGCGAUCGUGUCGUGGAAAUCCCAAAAAUAAUUUAUCGAAUUAUUAAAGUCGAAGCGUUAAGUUGCAGCCAUUUCGCAGUAAUCGUAAUCCAUAAUGAUCCUAGCACAGUCCGGGGUGCUGAUAGACUUUGCGACAAAAACGAUACUCUUAUUCACACGUGGGAUAAAAUAAUCAACGAUGAUCCAAAAACUGGGUUAACUUACGUUUGUCCGAUGACCACAUUUCUUGAAAAAAAAUUAGACGUCAAUUGUUGCAGCUUAAAUAAACUGAAUUUGGCUCAAGUUCCAUGUUACCAACAUCAACGGUCUCAGGAGUGGUGGUCUUAUGAGGAUAGAGCGGAAAUUGUCAAUUCAAACUUCGCAAGAUUUUUAGAAGAGAUAUCACAAGUGAAAUAAAACAUUUUGCUGCCAAAGCGAUGCGAGGCUGCAAAGUUCUAGGAAAAUUGUUGAUUUUGCUCGAGUCAACAACGGUCAAAACUUUUGAAAAUUUACAGUUUUAAAGAACAGAAAAUCUUUUUUUCCUUCAGUUUAUUCGAAUUACAACCUUUCUUAUUCGUAUAUGUGAGGGCGCAUACGGAAAGGGACCUUACGACCAAAAAAUCAAUUUUUCAUUUCUUCGCCAAAUUUUUGUAGGGACUCUUUAAAAAUCGAGUAGAACCCUCCAUAGGCCCCAAUUUUUAUUAUUUCAUCGAUUUUUUUUACUUUUAAGCGAAGCAUGCAUUACAUUAUUAUCAUUCAUAAAAGUUGAAAAAUGACACAAAAAAUUUGAAAAAAGACGUAAAAACGCGUAAAAAAUGAACAUUUUACAAAAACUCGUGACUUUAUAAUAAGACGUGAGUGGAAAAAAUCAUUAAAAAAAUUUUCCUAUAGCGGAACUCGAAUCGAAGACUUUCGGCAAGGUAGAUACAUACACCUAUAGCCACCAGUAUCGAUUUACGAAAUGUACAUAUUUUUUAACAAUAUAUAACUAACUUUAAUGUGAAACUAUAUAAAAAACACAAGUUGAACUGAAAAACACUGCCACAAUCAGCAGCAAACGAUUUUUAUAAAAACUAAUACCCUAAAAUUCUUGAUAAUAUCAACAGAAUUGCUCACUUUAUCAACUUUGUAGUGCCUAAUUUGGCCAGUACAGGUCGUUGGAGGGCGUGUGUGAAUGUGUGAUAAUGUAUAGGACCUUUGAAGUUGGAAUAGCCAUAUGUAAUUGUACCUUAAAACAAGGGAAAUAACGCAAAACUUUAAACCCUCCUCUUGUGAAAUUUUACUUUUGGUCGUAAGGUCCCUUUCCGUAUAUGCGCCCUCACAUAUAAGUCUAAUUUCACACAGAACAAAUGUAAAUUUAGAAGAAUUUUGGAGGUUUUCCGUGCCUACUUUUAAAGCUCAUUUACGAAUUUCCUGCAUUUUUUUGUAAUUUUUUAUAUUUUUUGUUUUGGCUGGUAGACACCAGAUAUUUCGGCCCUUUUUAAAAAAUUUUCGAAAAUUGAAGAAUUUACUUCGGUGGCAUAAAUUUGGUUCUGAGGUUUAAGUGACAUACGAAUAGGUACUCAUUCAAAGCACCAUUGUAGAAGUUCUCUCCAAAGUAUUUUAUUGAUUACUGUAUUCUAUAUAGGUAAUUAUAUUUGUCCAGUUUAAAAAAUGACUAUCAAAAUCAAUUUACAAGUUUAUUUUAGAGAAAAAUUUCAGAGCUACUAUUUUUAAUCAAAUUUGUCUUCACAAUAUUACUAAAGAUUAUUACCUAUCAUGUUAUAACUUCAUUCAUUUGAAUUUUUCUGGAUCACCUCACUUGCCUCAAAUGAAGCGAAUUAUUUUUAAUAUUCACGUUUCGUAAUCCCCACUCAAGAUAACUUUUAAAUUAAGAAAUGAAGUUUCGCAAUCUGUUCAGGUUGGAAUUUAUUGAAUUUCUUGGAUCACAUGUUGCAGAUUGAGCGAACCAUCUUUACUUAUCAAUCUAGGCUGUAACUAUUGGGGGAACCUUGAAGACGUUUGGAACAAUUCCUCUAUCUCAUAUUGCUAUCCAACAUAUAAUCCAACCAAAUAUUUUGCCGCGUGCCCUGCUUCCAGCCCUCUAGAGCAGCA